rnacentral:ncRNA from 1 species
UUUCUUCGGGUCUGUGGUUGCAAGCCGAUGCCAGUCGCAGGCAAAGCGGUCCACGUAAUCCACCCAAAGCGGUGGGGAGCAUGGUGCGGUCUAGAUGUAAGUCCGUCCGGGACGCCGUAGGCGAUCCCGAGAGGAGUGCGUGAGGGCACUGAACGUGCAGAGCUACCUCCCAGACGGCGUGUGUGGGGUCAAAUACCAGGUCAGCCGUGGAAA